rnacentral:lncRNA from 1 species
CCGUCUGAGAUCUUUUCCUGACUCGGCCAGGCUUGUUGCAGCUUUUAUGGGCUGCAGGGGGUCCUGCCUGGAGCUGGCAGUCCUAUGCAGCUGGUCCACUAGGUCUCGGCACCCCCUGGGCUCUUGGGCAGGUAGCAGGACCGUUGGAGACCCAAGAGGCUCCUCCCUGGGGCAGCCUGACUCAGAAAAACCGUCUGAGAUCUUUUCCCAACUCGGCCAGGCUUGUUGCAGCUUUUCUGGGCUGCAGGGGGUCCUGCCUGGAGCUGGCAGUCCUAUGCAGCUGAUCCACUAGGGCACCUGCUGGGGGCUUGGGAGGGCAGCAGGGCCAUUGGAGACCCUAGAGACUCCUCCCCAGGGCAGCCUGACUCAGAAAAACCAUCCGAGAAUUAGGCAGAUCUAUUCACGGCCUGGCUAGGCUUGUUCUAGCUUUUCUGGGCUGCAGGCCUUUUCUAGGGGGCUGGUGGUGUUUGGUGCUGCUCUGUGGAAGUGUAGCCCCUCCAAAGGGCAAGCAGGCCUGUGCAGGGAGAGCCCCUGCGGUGGUAGGCUUCAGGCAAUUGUUGAGGCCAGCCCUCCUGGAUGGCAGGCAGCCCCAGGUUCGGCGAGAGCGUAGGGGGUGGCGGGGGUGGGGGGAGGGAAUGCACUGGGAAGCACAGCUUUCUGCUAGCUAGCGGGCCUGUAAGCUUGCUGUGGCGUGGGGGGUAUUCUAUGGGGACCCACCCCUUCUUCUCUCCCCUCCCCAGCACGGGCGCAGACCAGGCUCUUCUCCCAGGUUCCCUCUGAGGCGGCUUUCCACUUCCCCGCCCCUAGAGUAUUGCUCCCUUCCUCUGCGACAGCUUUGUUUUCUAGUCUCCCAGGCAGUCUCUGCCCCGUCAAAUGGUUUAGAGACCUCCCAAGCAGUUUCCGCUCUUCCCCGCCCCCCUAGCCCGGGGACUAAUCUCUGGAGCCGAGGUCUCGGUGCCCAGCCCCCCCCCAGGCGUCCCCCGGCCCUUUCUUGGGGACUAACCUUCGGAGGCGAGGUCUCGGUGCCCAGCCCCAACCCAGGCGUCCCCCGGCCCCCUCUCGGGGACCAACCUUCAGAGCUGAGGUCUCGGUGCCCAGCCCCCACCCAGGCGUCCCCCGGCCCUUUCCCGGGGACUAACCUCUGGAGCCGAGGAUUCGGUGCCCAGCCCCCACCCAGGCGUCUCAAUUUUUGGUGACUGUGCCCGUAGUUCAGAUGGUCCGUUGGGUUCUUGAUCGUUUUUCCGUACUCCGACUUACUGCUACACUCUUCUCUGCAUCUGGAGAUUCCUCCGGUUCGUUUGAUCUUUCCCCCGGUAGGAGACUUUCCAGGGUGCGGGAUCCCUUUCUCCUCCGCAGUUCCCUUUCGGGAGCGCCCGUCCCGCUCGGAUUCACCUUCUCUCAC